rnacentral:snRNA from 1 species
GGAUGUGAGGGCGAUCUGGUUGCGACAUCUGUCACCCCAUUGAUCGCCAGGGUUGAUUCGGCUGAUCUGGCUGGCUAGGCGGGUGUCCCCCUCCUCCCUCACCGAUGCAUGUGCGUCCCUCCCGAAGCUGUGUGCUCGGUGGAAGAGGAUGACCUUCCCCCCCGAGGAGAGGAUCGGUCUUCGGUCAAGGGUAUACGAGUAG